rnacentral:rRNA from 1 species
AACGAACGCUGGCGGCAUGCCUUACACAUGCAAGUCGAACGGUAACAGGUCUUCGGAUGCUGACGAGUGGCGAACGGGUGAGUAAUACAUCGGAACGUGCCUAGUAGUGGGGGAUAACUACUCGAAAGAGUGGCUAAUACCGCAUGAGAUCUACGGAUGAAAGCAGGGGAUCGCAAGACCUUGUGCUACUAGAGCGGCCGAUGGCAGAUUAGGUAGUUGGUGGGAUAAAAGCUUACCAAGCCGACGAUCUGUAGCUGGUCUGAGAGGACGAUCAGCCACACUGGGACUGAGACACGGCCCAGACUCCUACGGGAGGCAGCAGUGGGGAAUUUUGGACAAUGGGCGAAAGCCUGAUCCAGCAAUGCCGCGUGCAGGAUGAAGGCCUUCGGGUUGUAAACUGCUUUUGUACGGAACGAAGAGCUCUGGGUUAAUACCCUGGGGUCAUGACGGUACCGUAAGAAUAAGCACCGGCUAACUACGUGCCAGCCGCCGCCGUAA